CGUCACUACUGUUCCGUGACGUGAGUGCCAGUUUGUCGCUGGGUGUGCUAGAGAGGACUCUACUCCUACCAAGGGCCGGGUCAGGGAGACGUCUUCGCCAGAAAUAUCUCCAAUCAACGUGGAUGAACUGGCAUAUAUAUUUAUCAUAUUUUUUGUGAAAUGAUUUAUGAAUUGGAUAUGUUUUUUCUAUAUAAUAAUAAAUGUAUAUACAUGGC